CCUACGGGUGGCAGCAGUGAGGAAUAUUGGUCAAUGGACGAGAGUCUGAACCAGCCAAGUAGCGUGAAGGAUGACUGCCCUAUGGGUUGUAAACUUCUUUUAUAUGGGAAUAAAACGUUCCACGUGUGGGAUUUUGUAUGUACCAUAUGAAUAAGGAUCGGCUAACUCCGUGCCAGCAGCCGCGGUAAUACGGAGGAUCCGAGCGUUAUCCGGAUUUAUUGGGUUUAAAGGGGGCGUAGGUGGAUUGUUAAGUCAGUUGUGAAAGUUUGCGGCUCAACCGUAAAAUUGCAGUUGAAACUGGCAGUCUUGAGUACAGUAGAGGUGGGCGGAAUGCGUGGUGUAGCGGUGAAAUGCUUAGAUAUCACGAAGAACUCCGAUUGCGAAGGCAGUUCACUGGACUGCAACUGACACUGAGGCUCGAAAGUGUGGGUAUCAAACAGGAUUAGAUACCCCUGUAGUC
rnacentral:rRNA from 1 species